GAACCGAGCGAACGUUGUUCGGAAUCACUGGGCUUAAAGGGCGCGUAGGCGGGUGCUCAAGUCUGUGGUGAAAUCCUCCAGCCUUAACUGGAGAACUGCCAUGGAUACUGGGUGUCUCGAGGAAGAUAGGGGUAUGCGGAACGAUUGGUGGAGCGGUGAAAUGCGUUGAUAUCAAUCGGAACUCCGGUGGCGAAGGCGGCAUACUGGAUCUUAUCUGACGCUGAGGCGCGAAAGCUAGGGGAGCAAACGGG
rnacentral:rRNA from 1 species